rnacentral:rRNA from 1 species
CCUACGGGUGACAGCAGUGGGGAAUAUUGCACAAUGGGGGAAACCCUGAUGCAGCGACGCCGCGUGAGUGAAGAAGUAAUUCGGUAUGUAAAGCUCUAUCAGCAGGGCAGAAAAUGACGGUACCUGAGUAAGAAGCCCCGGCUAACUACGUGCCAGCAGCCGCGGUAAUACGUAGGGGGCAAGCGUUAUCCGGAUUUACUGGGUGUAAAGGGAGCGUAGACGGCAGGGCAAGUCUGGAGUGAAAGGCGGGGGCUCAACCCCUGGACUGCCCUGGAAACUGUACGGCUGGAGUGCAGGAGAGGUAAGGGGAAUUCCUGGUGUAGCGGUGAAAUGCGUAGAUAUUAGGAGGAACACCAGUGGCGAAGGCGGCUUACUGGACUGUAACUGACGUUGAGGCUCGAAAGCGUGGGGAGCAAACAGGAUUAGAUACCCCAGUAGUC